rnacentral:rRNA from 1 species
UUAAAAAAGGAACUCGGCAAUCACAGACCCCGACUGUUUAACAAAAACAUAACCUUUAGUCAAUAAACCAAUAUUAAAGGCAACGCCUGCCCAGUGAACAAUUUAACGGCCGCGGUACCCUAACCGUGCAAAGGUAGCACAACCACUUGUCUAUUAAUUGUAGACCUGUAUGAAAGGCAAAACGAGGGCCUAUCUGUCUCUUGUAGUAAAUCAAUUAAACUGAUCUCCCAGUCCAAAAGCUGGGAUGCCAACAUAAGACCAGAAGACCCUGUGAAGCUUAAACUAAACUAUUAAAUCCUAUAAUAGCUCCUUUCGGUUGGGGCGACCCUGGAAAAAAAAAGAACUUCCAAACAUACUGACCUUACAGUCACCUACCCUAGGCCAACAAGCCUAACAACGACCCAGCACAGAGUGAUAAUACACCCAAAUUUUCCACG